rnacentral:rRNA from 1 species
ACUGCUAAUACCCCAUAACACCACCUUGGCGCAUGGCAGGGUGGUAAACACUCCCGUGGUGUAAUAUGGGCCCGCGUCUGAUUAGGUAGUUGGCAGGGUAGAGGCCUACCAAGCCUAAGAUCAGUAGCCGGCCUGAGAGGGUGGACGGCCACAUUGACACUGACACACGGCCCAAACUCCUACGGGAGGCAGCAGUGGGGAAUAUUGCACAAUGGGGGAAACCCUGAUGCAGCGACGCCGCGUGAGUGAGGAAGUAUUUCGGUAUGUAAAGCUCUAUCAGCAGGGAAGAAAAUGACGGUACCUGACUAAGAAGCCCCGGCUAACUACGUGCCAGCAGCCGCGGUAAUACGUAGGGGGCAAGCGUUAUCCGGAUUUAUUGGGUGUAAAGGGAGCGUAGACGGAGGAGCAUGUCUGAUGUGAAAAUCCGGGGCCCAACCCCGGAACUUCAUUGGAAACUGUUUAUCUAGAGUGUCGGAGAGGCAAGUGAGAAUUCCUAGUGUAGCGGUGAAAUGCGUAGAUAUUAGGAGGAACACCAGUGGCGAAGGCGGCUUGCUGGACGAUGACCGACGUUGAGGCUGGAAAGCGUGGGGAGCAAACAGGAUUAGAUCCCCUGUUAUUCCACCCCGUAAACGAAGACUACUAGGUGUGGAGAGGCAAAGCCUUUCGGUGCCGCAGCCAACCGCAAUAAGUAGUCCACCUGGGGAGUACGUUCGCAAGAAUGAAACUCAAAGGAAUUGACGGGGACCCGCACACGCGGUGGAGCAUGUGGUUUAAUUCGAAAGCAACGCGAAGAACCUUACCUGGCCCUGACAUCCCGAUGACAUCAGGGUAAUGCCUGCUUCCCUUCGGGGCAUUGGAGACAGGUGGUGCAUGGUUGUCGUCAGCUCGUGUCGUGAGAUGUUGGGUUAAGUCCCGCAACGAGCGCAACCCUUACCUUCAGUAGCCAGCAUUUAAGGUGGGCACUCUGGAGGGACUGCCAGGGACAACCUGGAGGAAGGUGGGGAGGACGUCAAAUCAUCAUGCCCCUUAUGGCCAGGGCUACACACGUGCUACAAUGGCGUAAACAGAGGGAAGCGACCACGCGAGUGUGAGCAAAUCUCAAAAAUAACGUCUCAGUUCGGAUGGUAGUCUGCAACUCGACUACAUGAAGCUGGAAUCGCUAGUAAUCGCGGAUCAGAAUGCCGCGGUGAAUACGAAACCGGGUCUUGCACUCACCGCCCGUCA